GAGUUUGAUCCUGGCUCAGGAUGAACGCCAGCGAUAGGCUUAACACAUGCAAGUCGAGGGGCAACAGGGUGUAGCAAUACACUGCUGGCGACCGGCGAAUGGGUGAGUAACACGUAUGCAACCUACCUUCAAGAGGGGAAUAGCCCGGCGAAAGUCGGAUUAAUGCUCCAUAAAACAGGGGUCACGCAUGUGACUAUUUGUUAAAGGAUUAAUUGCUUGAAGAUGGGCAUGCGUUCCAUUAGGCAGUUGGGGGGGUAACGGCCCACCAAACCGACGAUGGAUAGGGGUUCUGAGAGGAAGGUCCCCCACAUUGGUACUGAGAAACGGACCAAACUCCUACGGGAGGCAGCAGUGAGGAAUAUUGGUCAAUGGGCGAAAGCCUGAACCAGCCAAGUCGCGUGAAGGAAGAAGGAUCUAUGGUUUGUAAACUUCUUUUAUAGGGGGGUAAAGAGGGUGACGUGUCACUUAUUGCAAGUACCCUAUGAAUAAGCAUCGGCUAACUCCGUGCCAGCAGCCGCGGUAAUACGGAGGAUGCGAGCGUUAUCCGGAUUUAUUGGGUUUAAAGGGUGCGUAGGUGGACUGUUUAGUCAGUGGUGAAAUGCUGAUGCUCAACGUUAGCAUUGCCGUUGAAACUGACAGUCUUGAGAGUGAUUGAGGCAGGCGGAAUGUGUGGUGUAGCGGUGAAAUGCAUAGAUAUCACGCAGAACUCCAAUUGCGAAGGCAGCUUGC
rnacentral:rRNA from 1 species